GUGUAGUUCAUUCACCAACAUUCAACAAUACAAAAUCCAAUUACACCCCUUCAUACUUAAAACACAAAUUUGGCAAACAAUUCUUCGUGACAAAACAGUAAUGGAAGGCAAAGUUGGCUACAAGAGAAUCAUAGUAGCACUCUUUUUCAUCGUUGCAACUGUGAUGCUGCAAGUCCUUGCUGUGAAAGCACAACAAGAGAAUCCAGUGUGCGAGGAGCACCUUGGACAUCCAUGCACUCCUGGUGUUAGAGAAUGUUGUGCUAACACUGGACGCCAAUGCGUUGCUGCGCCGUCUUCGAAUGGUUUCCGGUGCAUGUAAACCCGUCAUCCAUCACCACCAACUGCAUAUUGACAACCUAUUGUACUGCUUAAUUAUAUUAAAUCUCCUUUGAGUUCUAUACCUCUUUUAUGAAACUUUAAUGUCUUAUUUUUAUUUUUAUUUUUAUUUUUUGGAUAUGUGUUUAUGUUUAUGUUGUUUGGUGAAGUGCAAAAUCUUGUGUAAAAUGGUUGUCUCAAUUAAUAAAUAAAGAGAGUGUCCUUCGUUUUCUAA